AUUGAACGCUGGCGGCAGGCCUAACACAUGCAAGUCGAGCGGAUGAAGGGAACUUGCUCCUGGAUUCAGCGGCGGACGGGUGAGUAAUGCCUAGGAAUCUGCCUGGUAGUGGGGGAUAACGUCCGGAAACGGGCGCUAAUACCGCAUACGUCCUGAGGGAGAAAGUGGGGGAUCUUCGGACCUCACGCUAUCAGAUGAGCCUAGGUCGGAUUAGCUAGUUGGUGGGGUAAAGGCCUACCAAGGCGACGAUCCGUAACUGGUCUGAGAGGAUGAUCAGUCACACUGGAACUGAGACACGGUCCAGACUCCUACGGGAGGCAGCAGUGGGGAAUAUUGGACAAUGGGCGAAAGCCUGAUCCAGCCAUGCCGCGUGUGUGAAGAAGGUCUUCGGAUUGUAAAGCACUUUAAGUUGGGAGGAACGGCAGUAAGUUAAUACCUUGCUGUUUUGACGUUACCAACAGAAUAAGCACCGGCUAACUUCGUG
rnacentral:rRNA from 1 species